CCGCUGAAUUUAAGCAUAUCAAUAAGGGGAGGAAAAGAAACUAACAAGGAUUCCCUCAGUAACGGCGAGUGAAGCGGGAAGAGCCCAGCGCUGAAUCCCCCGUUCUAUGGACGGCGGGAACUGUAGCGUAAGGGACUGGUAAUGCGCGGGCGGAAGGCGGUCCAAAUCCUCGUGAUCGUUGGUCCUUGCCAUAGAGGGUGUCAGCCCCGUAGGGCUGCUGGAUGCUCGCGCGCCGCCGGUCUCAGGAGUCGGGUUGUUUGAGAAUGCAGCCCAAAGCGGGUGGUAAACUCCAUCUAAGGCUAAAUACCAUGGCAAGUCCGAUAGCGAACAAGUACCGUGAGGGAACGUUGAAAAGAACUUUGAAGAGAGAGUUCAGUCAUAGCUGUUUCCUG
rnacentral:rRNA from 1 species